AGAGUUUGAUCAUGGCUCAGGACGAACGCUGGCGGCGUGCCUAACACAUGCAAGUCGAACGGGGCCCGCAAGGGUUCAGUGGCGAACGGGUGCGUAACACGUGAAGAACUUGUCCAUCGGCGGGGGAUAGCCGGCCCAACGGCCGGGUAAUACCGCGUACGCCGUCUGAAGCGCAUGCUUCGGCCGGGAAAGCAGCAAUGCACCGAUGGAGAGCUUCGCGGCCUAUCAGCUUGUUGGCGGGGUAAUGGCCCACCAAGGCGACGACGGGUAGCUGGUCUGAGAGGAUGACCAGCCACAUUGGGACUGAGACACGGCCCAGACUCCUACGGGAGGCAGCAGUGGGGAAUAUUGCACAAUGGGCGCAAGCCUGAUGCAGCGACGCCGCGUGAGGGAUGACGGCCUUCGGGUUGUAAACCUCUUUCAGUAGGGAAGAAGCGAAAGUGACGGUACCUGCAGAAGAAGCGCCGGCUAACUACGUGCCAGCAGCCGCGGUAAUAC
rnacentral:rRNA from 1 species